CAGGAUGCUGAGGCCGAGGCUCGCACUAGCCCCUUUGUGAAGCGCGGGGGAGAUGUUCACCCCACGUCAAGCUGCCCUGACCCUCGGACUGCAAGCUGGGUGCUUGUCGGGGGCGCCCCCACCCCCAUCCCGGAGGCCGGGUGCGGCACCUCCGCCCGCCAGCCGCUCCUGCAUUAAAAUUUCAUGGGCGCUGCAGUAAAUGAGAAGACGAAGCCGGCUGCACUGGGGGGGCCGUAGGGAGGGAGGCUGCGGACCAGUGCGGGGAGGAGUUUACGAGGGGAGGUGCUUGCAGGGGCUCCCCCAGUUCUGUUGAAAGCAGGGCACAAAGAGCCCUCUGCACUCCAGCCGCAGGAGCGAGGAGCCGAGCUAGAUCUACAUGGUGUGUGGAGACCCCAAUACACACCAACCCACAAGGUUAGCAGACUGGGGCGUCCAGUGCAUCUCCGCACCCUCAUUGCGACAUCGCUCUGGAUGAUGAUCAGACAUCCUCCCUCGGGGAGCCACCGCUUUGGAAAAACAGCCCCGCAGAGUGGUGUGAGGCCUGUCCACAUGCACAUGGCUGCCGUGUCUCAGUGGUACCUGGGAAAGAAGCAAGUCUUCAUCUCCUGCAUGGAUGCAGGUGGCAGAGGCCAACAGCUUCUGAGUCUCCCACACCUCAAGACUUUCUGCUGGUUCCCAGGUCGCAGAGGAGAGCAGGGGAUUGGGAAGGGUCGUGGGCACCCCGUGAAGCAGCCUUACAGAUAAGUAUCCCUUUACUAGUCCCGGGGCGCCAGCCUGCUCUCCGCUGGUGCAUGUGCAAAGGAGGGUUGGCCCUGGAACCCCAAGAGGGAGGGCGGAUGUCUGGUGGAUGGCUCUGGCUCUUGAGGAUGGCGUUUGUAAUCUUGGGUAGGCUCCCUGGUCUUCCACAUACACAGAGGCCUCCACAGUGUUUCCCACAGGACACGUUGCUUCUCUCUGCUCCAGGUUCCUGUGACAGCAGGCUGAGAGUGUGCUAUGAGAUGCCUCCCCUUUCUUGGAUCAGGCUCUGGAAAACAGAUGUAGUACAGUUGUCAGGAAAGAGCAAAUCUGAGCCCUGGGUUGAGAGUCAGGGUGUCCCUUCCGUCCUGGUGACUUACAGUGGCCUGGACGAGCCCUGUACCCUCCUCUGACUCCAGACAUGUUCUUUGCUGUGGUCCAGGAAGGAUGGGGACUGAGGUGGACAGAAGGGCUGCUUUCAUUCCCAGCCAUUGCCUUGAAUGGCUAUUAUAGUGCCUUGUAUGGCAGGGCAGGAUGUGUCCCAGGGUCCAGAGAGAGGGAUAGGCUUCCAGCAAUGGCAGCAGUACUGAGGUCAGAGCUCCAGGCCCCUACUCUGUCAGGACUCUCCCUCUGCUGGCCCUAAGUUGCCCAGCUUGCUCUGAGUUUUCCUGGAUCACAGAGGAAACCACAGUGUCCAUGUUUGUGAAGGAUGCUCAGGGUGGCAGGGAAGGAGGAGGCAGGUGGCUCUUGGACCAAAGCAGGUCUUGGGCGUGGUCCUCACCUGGGCCAGGAUUGGCUCUUCUGUCUUCCAGAGUCAUGCUGUGAUGUCCCUGUGGGGGAAGAGCUAGGAGCUAGGCCUGUGAUGAUGUCGAUGAUGUCAGAUAUGAACAUGACCUUCUUUAAGGCCAUGCUGGGUGUCCAGAGGUGAAUGACAGAGACGUGGUCCUACUCUCUGAGAUCUUCAGUAAGAAAACAUCACCACAGCUCAGCAAGGGGAUGUCUCCAGACCCUGGUCUGCUUUGGAGCCCUGGAUUUUGACCUCAUGGAAUGGGGAAGAACCUGUCUCCCUGAAGAUGCUGUCCUUUUCAAUGCCAGAAAUGGAGCCCCCUGGAGAAGAGCCAUUUCUGGAAGAUACAUUACUUAGCAUCCACCCUGCCUUUGAUGAACAGAUCCAGGGUGGGAGAGGGGGGCACUGGAGGCCCUUUCUGAUCCCAUGUGGACUGGAAUCUUCCUCCAGUGUCUGGAGGUGGGGUGGAGCUAAGCCCCCUCCUAAGGACCUGUGGGUAGGGCAGGGACUCAUGGGCAUGGAGGAGGAGCUGCUGGGGAGGAGCCCAAUGUCUGUCUUUUGUCUGUUUUUCUUUUCGUCUGUUUGCUGUUUGAAUGGUGGUUCUGUUUGGGUGCUUCCUGGGUGAGGCUUAGCUACCUGCUGGUUGUGGUGAGAGGACCACCAGUCCUGGCCUGGGAGGAGCCUGGCUAGUCUCUGUGCAGUCAGCAGGGGACCCUGGAAAGAGAAAGGGUGAGUCCUGAGAUAAGGAGACCCAGUAGGGAGGCUUACUGGCAGCCGCAUAUCUCCAGCUUCCUCAGUCACUAGAGAGUGGACUAUACCCUGCAGGGGCUACGGAGCCUUUGCCAGGAGACAGGGCUGCCCAGCCAUUGCCCUGUGUUGAGGGACUGAGGCUGGCAGACACCUGCACCCCUUCUCAGGGUGAGGUGACCUAGUGUAACCCCUGUGUCUGUUCUCCACUGUUGGUCACAGUCCCUCCGGAAGGAGAUGGCUCUGCAAUGUGUGGCCCUCUUCAGGACAGCCUAGAGAGCCUUCUCCCUGGGGCAUGAGGGGCUGUGGGGUUUGGCAACAGAGACUCACACCCCCAGGCUUGAGGCUCUCAGAGCAAGAUCAAGGUGCCAGAAGUAGCUUUAUGUCCUUGUGUGGCCUUUCUCUGUGUUCAGAGUGAGUAGGCUCCUGGGAUUUGUCCCACAAGGGCACAGUCAUUUGAGGACCUAGGCUUAAGACCUCAUCUGAGCUUAGGCACACUUUGACUCUCCAAACCUUCACAUUGGGGCUGGGGAAUCCAGCCUAUGCCUCUUCGGGGACACAGUUUGGACUCUGACAGGGUCGUUUCACAAACAUGAGUAGCUAGAGCCGUCUCUCCUUAAGAAUUCCCAUAUUGGAGGAACCGAUGAAUGCCAAAUGGGUCCACAGUUGUGGCUGCUAUGCCUGGUGUCUUGGGAACAUGGUGGCUGUAGCCAGUGCAGAGUCAGCUCAGGUCUUGGGGCACCCUCUGCUAUACAAGUCACCUUGCUCUACCAGCCUCCAUUUCCACUUUGUCAUGUGGGCCAUAUGCUCUCCUGGUGGCCCCGGCAGCUUUCCAAGGGGUCCUGUGCCUGGUGUUCCAUACAGUCAUGUCCAUGUGGAAAUUUGGGGAGGUUAGGUUGAGGGCACAUCUGGGUAGGUAGGGGACUUUCUGAUCCAGAGGCAUUGCUGCUUGGGUCACCCAUGUCUGUCUUCCUGACAAGCCAGAAGGGAAGGAACCCUGUUUCCUGCUGCCAAUAUGGAGUCCACUCAGGUUCUUUGCUGUGAGCCAGUGUGGGAACCUGGUGCUGUCCAGCCAUGCUUCAGACACUGGGGAUUUCCUAGUCAGCAGGGAGAGAAACAGUGCUCAGGAAGGGGUAGAUGAUGGGCAGUCAACAGAGGCCUGAAAGGGAAGGAGACCGCAGCUCUGGCACUCUGGAGGGGUUUCCUACUCAGGCUGACUCAACCAGGGCUUUGGAGGCUGAGAAAGUUACGAUUUAACUGAGUACCCUUGGGAAGAAAUUAAAGCAAAAAAGUGGGAUUUUUCACAGCCCAGAAAACGCUAGUGAGCAAGCUUCAGAUACUCAGGGAGGGAUAGGAUGAAGCAUUUCCUGUUUUUUUCUGGCUACAGAAUUAUUUUCUUACCAAACCCUGUCUAGAAUGCAGGGAGACACAGGUUGGUCAUCAGUAGUGCCAAGAGUGCUAGGUGGUAUAACCAGGGAAUGCGCAGGUGCCUUGGGGUUGCCUGGGAAGGAAGGAAAUUGAAGGGACCAGAGGCGAGAGGGGUCUAAGCUUUAGUACACGGCCCAGUUCCCUGCAGUGUUUGUAUGGGAGCAGCCAGAGGCCUGGGAGUUGACGAUAGGAGAGAUGUCCAUUUCCAAGCAUGGCAGCUCUGGGGUGGGGUGGGGAGGAUAGAUGUUUGGUGGAAAAGUCACUGAUGAGUGUGUGCAUGUGUGUGCGCCUGUGUAUUUGUGUACAUUUGUGCGUGUGAGAAGAUCCUGGCUACAACCAGGGAAGGGGGUUUGCCCUCAGGUCAAGCAGAGGACAUUUUCAGCAGAGCUGGAGUGUUUUGGGGGGCUCUGAAACCCACAGCACAGAAACAGAAGCUCUGGGCUUCCAGCAGGGAUCACUGAGGUCAAGCUUGAUUCUUGGAGGGGGUGUGUGUUGAGGGGUGUAGAGGCAGACCCCCUGCCCUGAUCAGGCCCCAUGUCCAGGUUGGUGGGGACAGGAGGUCUGUGAUGGUGGGGGGGGGGUUGACAGGGGUGGGGUGCAUGGUGUGAUUUAACCUACUAACCAACUCAGGGCUCGGCCAGGAUGCUGUGGCACGUGACAAGAUGCCUGGUCUUCUGUCAAUCGACUAAUCCACUAACCUGGCCUGAGCAUGCCCUACUAACCCUGCGGCAGCCAAACCCUACUAACUCUGCAGCCCACGGGCCUUCCCAGAGGCUGGGGCAGACGAGGCUGCAGAAGGCCCUGCCUGGGGCCUGGGAUCUCUGUGCAGACCCAUCCUGCAGGGCAGGGCACGCUAAGAGAUGCACCAACUCUGCUGCUGGGGACUGUGUACCAGCCACCUACCCUCCGUGGUGGAAUGGGACCCUUCUACUCCCCUCGAUGCCUGUGGUGGGCAACGGAGGUGCUGCUGCCCAGCAGGGACUUCAAAAUGGAAAAAGACAGGGUGAGGGCAGGCUGCAGGGAACUCGGUGCUAUGUUCAUCCCCUGAACUCGGGUGUUCUGCACACAGACCCUUCUGCCUGAGGCAGACACAUGCUUUGAACCCUUAACCGUCUCUUCCUGUUCUUCUCUUGCCAGCUUUCUCUCCCAUAGGCAAACUCUUUUGAUUACUAAUUGUCUAACCCUGGGGCACCCCACCUGCACCCCGCUGCCCCUUAACUAACUAACGGCCCCGCUGCCUUCUUCUCUCCUAGUGGCUCCUGUGUGUGUCUGCUGAGGUGCCCUGUCCGCUGGUGCUGUGCUCUGACCUACUAACCCGGCCCUACUAACAGAUUUCUUUAACUAAUCCAGCCCUGCCGAGCUCUGGGCCUCCUGGGGGCUGGUCCCUCCUUCUGGCAAACAGAUGUCCCUGGACAGACCAGGCCAGGUCUGAGGCAGGGGACAACCAUAUUGGUGAUGCCCAGAGGAGGAGGAGGAGGCUGUCCUGUGGGUGUGGGACGCUGGGCUCCGAGCAUGACCUCUCUCCUCUGUGCAUAGGACUGGUUGCCACCAGGAGUGGAUGGGACCAGGGGAUCUUGUGGGAGCCAGUGUGGGGCCUGUGGAUCUAGAGUGGGCGAUACUGGGCCCUACUUAGCCUAGGCCCUCUGUGAUUUGGGCUGGGUAGAAAGCAUUAGGAACCCCAGGGACUGGCCAUCUUAUACAGGACCUCGAGGGUGUGUGUUUGAACCUCGAGCCGACAGAAUGGCACGCCCUCCGUGGAAGCUGUAAGUGAGAGUUUCCUACGUAGGAAGUCUGUGAAGGGGCCUUUCCCCGUGAAGCCACAGAACAAAGUCAGGCACUCCUCAAGUGAAGCCUGAGGGGAUGGCAUCCGGACACUGCAGUCUGAGAAGAGAUGGCCAGUGACCAGUAGGCAGUGAGCCUGAGGGACCUUUCCCACUCAGGGGUGGGAAUAGCGAUCACACAGGAAGAAGGCAUGAGGAGAAAGACUCGCCCCACACUUAGAAAGGACAGACUGCCAGCUGCCAGGUGCACAGGUGUGGAAAUGCCUAUGGGAAAGGGACAUAGGUGCCCGGAUAUGAAUCCCAAGGGCCCAAAGGCCACUGGGGAGGUCACACCAGCUGUUUAUGUUUUGUCCUGUUUAUGCUCAUGCCUCUGCCCCAGCCAGCCUCCCCCAGAGCCCGCCAGCUGCUAAGCCAGGGCCACACCUGGAGGUGAUUUCAUGCCUCACCUCCAGUAGGCUCAUGGCCUCUCUGGGCUAACCUCUGACUCCCUCGCACUAACUAGCUCUUACCCAGCUGAUACCUGCCUCUCCAUGGCUGCCCCAGGGGCUGACCACUAACAGCCAGCCCUGCCUAUUGGGGGGGAGGGGCGGUAUGGGCUCAGGUUCCUGGCCGGCUCCCUUGAACUACCCUUCCUCUGGACUAAUUCAUUGUUCCUUUCGGCAGAAAUGAAUGGCUGUGGCUUUCUCUCUAACAGGUCUCCUUUCCUCCCGCUAUCAACACUAAUGGCUUGGAUGGCGGCAUGGCCGGGAAGGGGCUUGUACAGGUUCGGAGCUUGGUGGAUGUGUGGAGAACGUAGCUAGUGAGAGUAGAUCACAUGACUGCUCCGAGUCAGAGCUUCCAAAUGUCAAUCAAGGUGGUACCCAGGCUGGGGUGUGGCUCAGGCCAGAAGAAAGGAUACUGUCAUCUACUUGGUGGGGUCAGACCUACAGUCAGCCUUCUAGAGGUGUGGCCACUGACCCAAUCCCAUAAUCUUAUGACUUGCAGGGGCUGUCCUUGUAAGCAGAGGCAGCUUAUAGGUUCCACCUAAGACACCUGUCCGAUUUCCUCAAAGGAUUUGUUAUUUACAGGAUCGCUAGAGAAGACCAGGGUCUGCUUUGAGUCCUUGUUUGAGAGACUUACAGAGCUUUAUCCCUAUAAACACCAAAUCCAGACAGAAAAAUCCACAAGGGCUGUAAAUUCUCCAGCCACUCCCACCCUAGAAAAGCCCAGCUUCUCUAACUCUUCUGAGGCAACUCUUUUACACAGGGUAGGUGCACUGAGGCGAGGGUGUGUGGCUGUCAAAGAGUCUGAGCCUGCAGGAGGCCAGAGCUACAGCAGAAAUGGAGGAGAUGCCUCUUAGGGAGGUGGGUUAGCAUACGAGAUAGGGCUGGGACGCACCGCUGCUGCCCUCUCGUGGCCGCUCCGCUUCAUUUUACCCACAAUGCCCAGGAGCUUACGUAGCUGAGGCUGCCCUCCUGGGGCCCUGCGCUGCGCCAGGCUCUGCUCCAGCUGCUGAGACUGGACCGCAGCCUUCUCAUCGAAGGCAUGACGGUCCCGAUAUGUGGCAGUAGUUGGUCCUCAGUAGCUGAAGUUCUGUGUGGUGGGCCCAGGACAGAGAGCUCGAGUGAGGCAGGCAGGGGGAGAGCUCUCAGAACAGGCGUCACACCAGCCAAACCUCGGUAGGCAGGGCACGGCUGAGUACAAGCCCCUGGCAACUCAAGAUCAGAGAGGAUCCAAACAGAUUCUGGGGGAGCAUAUUAGGUGAGGGGCUCAUGGGGCAAAUCCAAGGCCUUGUCUGCAAACGGGGACUUCAUCCUUGGGGUGCCAGAUGUGGUCUGCACUUGUAAUUCGAGCACUAAGGCAUUAGAGACAGAUCUGUGGGGUUCACCGACCUGUCAGCCUACCUCAUCAUAUGGUCUGAGCAGGCGGCGGGGCUGGGGUUUCAGGCUACUUCGGUCUCUUCAGCCCAGCAGGGAGGAGCUUGCAGUGUGUGCAGCCCACAUUCUAGACUGCACUAGAAUUUCUGGUCACUAGGAAGACCCUUUGGUUUAACUGUAAAGAAGCAGGGUUCAUAGUGCUCACCCUCAACCCUCAUUGGAGUUCAUGAGAGAUAGAUACCUGGAAAGCAAGGGACAGAGGUGACAGGAACUUAAGACUUAAUACAGGCCCCAAUGGUGUAUGCCUCCUCCAGAAGAUCUGGAGGUAGGUGAUGUUGACAGUGAUGGUGUGUGUGUGUGUGUGUAUGUGUGUGCGUGUGUGUGCAUGCAUGAGGGGUGGGAGAAGAGAGUAUGACUAGAGGAAGUCGAGACACUGAAGGCGCAUUCUCAUUUGUUCCUGGGCUGCUCCUCCUCCUCUCCUUUCCACUGAACUUUAGGCUUGUUUUGAGCAGGAUCCUAUAGGCAGCAGAGCGGCCUCCUGUCUGAAGGUGUCAAUACCUCUUUACAGCCUGACUGGAGGGAGGGGCCACUGUGGAUUCUGCCCCAGGGUGGGCUGGUGGCCGGUUGGGAGCCCUGGUGCAGCCCUCAGGGUCCCCCAAGGGCCUCUCUGGAAUCUGUCCUAGGGCCCAUUGUUUUAUGACAGCUCAUCAAAGAUGUGUGCAUUGUUCCUGCUGGGGAAUGCUGAGUGUGGGUCCUGGAAGCCUGCUGUAAAGCUGGGAUUGUUCUGUGGAUUCACCCACAGUUACUGGGUCUUUUGAUGUUCAUGCUUGUUGCUGAGUCUGUGUAAGAUGCCAUUUUGAUAUUAAAACUGGCACACACUGGAGAGUGACUGGUUUAUGAGGUGGAGGGAUGUGUUGUCUUGGGAAAGGACAUUCAGCGGGGCUUCUGAGACAGGGUUAGCGGAGUUGCCAAGUCAGCCCAACAAAAGAAGCACUCCUUAUUUUAUUAAAGCAUUUGGAGCCAAAGUGGCAGCACAGGGCUUUAAUCCCAGCCUCGGAUCUCUUUGAAUUUGAAGCCAGGAAACCCUGUCUCAAAAAACCAAAACCAAACCAAAACCAACCAACCUAAAACCAUACCAAACCAAACCAACCAAACAAAAAGAAACAAAAAUGAGAAACAAACAAGCCACUUGGCUCACCAGGUGGAAUGCUUGCUAUGCAAACUUGGUGGUGAAACCCACGGGAGGAGGAGGAAUCAGGUUCCCGAAAGGUGGUCCUUCGACCUCUCCACAUGUGCAUCCUGGGUGUCAUCCCCACGUGUGCAUCCUGGGAUAUCAUCCCCCCACGUGUGCAUCCUGGGUGUCAUCCCCACGUGUGCAUCCUGGAUUGUCAUCCCCUACGUGUGCAUCCUGGGCUGUCAUCUCCCCACGUGUGCAUCCUGGAUUGUCAUCCCCCCGUGUGUGCAUAUUGGGCUGUCAUCCCCCCCCCAUGUGUGCAUCCUGGAUUGUCAUCCCUCCACGUGUGCAUCCUGGAUUUCACCCCCCACGUGUGCAUCCUGGGAUAUCAUCCCCCACGUGUGCAUCCUGGACUGUCAUCCCCCACGUGUGCAUCCUGGAUUGUAACCCCCCACGUGUGUAUCCUGGGCUGUCAUCCCCCACGUGUGCAUCCUAGAUUGUCAUCCCUCCACGUGUGCAUCCUGGGGUGUCAUCCCCCCACGUGUGCAUCCUGGAUUGUCUUCCCCCAUGUGUACAUCCUGGGCUGUCAUCCCCCCCACGUGUGUGUCCUGGGAUAUCGUCCCCCACAUGUGUAUCCUGGGCUGUCAUCCCCCACGUGUGCAUCCUAGAUUGUCAUCCCCCCACGUGUGCAUCCUGGGGUGUCAUCCCCCCACGUGUACAUCCUGGAUUGUCAUCCCCCCACGUGUGCAUCCUGAAUUGUCAUCCCCCCAUGUGUACAUCCUGGGUGUCAUACCCGUGUGUGCAUCCUGGGCUGUCGUCCCCCACGUGUGCAUCCUAGGGUGUCUUCCCCCCCAAGUGUGCCUUUUUUUUUCCUGCAAUGUUGUGACAUGUAACCUCCUUGGUGGAAGAGAAAAAUGUGCUCAGUGCACGUCUGUGAAGGGAUAAUGAAUAUCUGACACAC